AUUGAACGCUGGCGGCAGGCCUAACACAUGCAAGUCGAGCGAGCGGCGGACGGGUGAGUAAUGUAUGGGAAACUGCCUGAUGGAGGGGGAUAACUACUGGAAACGGUGGCUAAUACCGCAUACCAUCAGAUGUGCCCAGAUGGGAUUAGCUAGUAGGUGGGGUAACGGCUCACCUAGGCGACGAUCCCUAGCUGGUCUGAGAGGAUGACCAGCCACACUGGAACUGAGACACGGCCAAAACUCCUACGGGAGGCAGCAGUGGGGAAUAUUGCACAAUGGGCGAAAGCCUGAUGCAGCCAUGCCGCGUGUUUGAAGAAGGCCUUCGGGUUGUAAAGCACUUUCAGCGGGGAGGCGUUACCGACAGAAGAAGCACCGGCUAACUCCGUGCCAGCCGCCGCGGUAAUAC
rnacentral:rRNA from 1 species